UUCUCCUUCUUUAGUUUUCUCCUUUCCGUGGAGUUUUGUCUUUCAUCCGGGUUUUCUUUUCAGUCAUUAAAGUUUUAUUGGCUAAAUAUUCGGGGUCAUCUCUGCAUGACCUUUGGUUAGUUGGUAGACUUUUUUGAAUGAAAGUUUUCCUUUCUUCUUAGUUGCGCGGACUUUGCUUUUCUUUCGAGUGUUUUUUUCAGACAUCAAAAUUUUUAUCUAAUUUUGUGGGGCUUUUCCACAUGUCAUUUGGUUAGAUGAAAGUUUUUCAUGUAUGAAAAAGCUCUCUGAUUCUUUCGGUAUGGUGUUUCGAUACAAUUCAAUGACGUGAAAGUCUUAUGACAAAAAUAAAAUAAAAUUACGUGAAGUAUGUCUUAUCUUAAGCCCA
rnacentral:lncRNA from 1 species